rnacentral:lncRNA from 1 species
GACUGGGUGGUUGAGGGAGCUCCUGGUGAAAUGUGCUGAGGCUUCUGCUGAGGUUUCUACCUCAGCUCCACGGCCUGGCCAGGUAGGAAUGCAAUUCACCUUCCUGUCAUGUUUCUGUCCUGGCACUCCAGACAUUCGGGUCAGACAGACCUCACUAUCUCCAAGCUGCAGUGAAUCUGAGAGCCAUGAAAGUUCAAUGGAUUGAAGAAAAUGUUCACGGAAGGAAGAUGAUUAAUUGAUCCAGAGGGCCUGUAGCAACUCUGUUUAACAUGCUAGAUGAGCCAGUCUUAUUCAGUGAUGACUAAGGAUCUAGAGAAAACUGGUGUCAGGUUGGUCUUCUUCUUCCCACCUAUUUUCAGUUGGCCUGCAGUUCCUAGGAUGUGUAUCCUGUAUGCUGGUCACCGGAAGAUAGGCAAAUUUUUGCUUUGUUGCUGGUUCUGGGACAACAGCCAUGAAUACAAAAGAUUAAAUGGAAGGCUCUGGAGCCCUGAGGAAUAGCAGUUACUAGACUGAAGGAACCUGAGUUUCUAGAUUGCGAUGUUGAGCAGAGUCCCUGCUAACCCAGGAAAACUCUGAUGUGAGAAAGAAGAAAACCCGGAUUGCACUAACUCACCGAGAUUUCGAAGUUUAGUUGUUCGGCGAUGAACUUGUCCUGAACAACAUAGAGGAACAGUGGGAAAUACAUGGAGUGUGCUUAUAAGAAGCUAUGGUAGGCAGGAUUUCAAGAUGUCCUUGUGAUCUCUGCCUCCUUGUGUUUCUCCCAUGACUAUGUCAUGUUCCACAGCAAAAGGGAUUUUGCAAUGUAUUAAGGGUACUGAACGGUUGACCUUAAGAUCGUGGGAUUAUCUGGGUGGGCCUAAUUUCAUCACAUGAGUCCUGUAAAAGAAGUGAAUUUUCUCUAUUUGGUAGCAGAAGAGGCAGUCAGAGACAUCUGAAGUGUGAGAGGGAUUCAGUGCUGAAAUGGAGAAGGUCACAUGGUAAGAACCUGAGAGUGGCUUCUGGUAGCUGAGAGUGAUCCUUGGCAAGAUAAUGGAACCUUAGUCCUAGAGCCUCAAGGAAAUUAAUUCUGCUGACAAUCUGAGGGAACUUUGAAGCAGAUCUUUUCCUAGUUGAGCCUCCAAGUAAGGAUUUAGCUAGCUAGCUGGUACUUUAAUUUGAGCCUUAUGAGUCUCUGAGCAGAGGACCCAGGGAAAUAAAGUCAGGCUCCUAAUGCAUGGUGAUGAUGACGUGAUAAGUGUGUUUUGUUAAGCUACUAAGUUUGUGGUAAUUUUUAAUGUAGCAAUAAAAAACUAAUGCAGAGAGUGAAAA